CUGAGGAAUAAUAUGGAUUUAUGUGGUUGUGAAAAUAGACUUUGUGUUUGUGUGUGAAAAUGUGAGUGUGUGUGUCUGCGUGUGUGCGCGCGCACGCGCUGGGACCCCACUUGACAACCUCAGGACAUCAGUUAUUUCAUCUUCAGCAGCAUGCCACCGAAGAAGAAGAAGGGCAGUGGGCAGACGUGUUGUGUGGCCUCCUGAGCUAUAGCCUUGGCAAGCCAAACGCGCUCAGUGGUGGCGCAACGUCACCGCCCGCUACAAAGAGAACAGCCACUAUCCAUCCAUUCAUCCAUCCAUCCAUCCAUCCAUCCAGGAAUCACGAAAUGGCUGAACCACAAGUUCAACAUAAGAAAAGAAACUGGGAACGAGAUUACAGGAAGUGACGUCAUAUUUCAACGUGAGGCAAGGCGGGUCGUUUUUUGAAUAGAUGCCGGCACGGCCUUCGAACCACCUGCUGACGUUUCCUUUCCAAACUGAAAAAUAUUUCUACCUCACACACAUUCAAUUGACCACAUUUUGGAAAUACUGCUCCUGUCUUAAGCAGUGUGCGAAAUUUAUCUUCGAUGUUAAAAAUACUUCUACCCCACUCUGGCCAAGG